rnacentral:snRNA from 1 species
CUUACUCUGAAAAUACAUAUGCUAAGAUUAGAAUUAUAUAGACAAUACUAGCAUGAUUUCAAUGCAAGGAUGGCAUACAAAU